rnacentral:tRNA from 1 species
GGCUUGUUAGCUCAGAUGGUUAGAGCGCCGACCUGUCACGUCGGAGGUCACGGAUUCGAGUUCCGUACAGGCCGCCA